rnacentral:rRNA from 1 species
AGUCAAUAGAUACCCGGGUAGUCCACGCCGUAAACGAUGAGUACUAGGUGUAGGAGGUAUCGACUCCUUCUGUGCCGCAGUUAAACACAAUAAGUACUCCGCCUGGGAAGUACGGUCGCAAGAUUAAAACUCAAAGGAAUUGACGGGGGCCCGGCACAAGCAGUGGAGCAUGUGGUUUAAUUCGAAGCAACGCGAAGAACCUUACCUAGACUUGACAUCUCCUGAAUAGCGCAGAGAUGCGUGAAGCCCCUUCGGGGUCGAGGAAGACAGGUGGUGCAUGGUUGUCGUCAGCUCGUGUCGUGAGAUGUUGGGUUAAGUCCCGCAACGAGCGCAACCCCUAUUAUUAGUUGCUACCAUUAAGUUGAGCACUCUAAUGAGACUGCCCCGGGGUUUAACCCGGGGUAACGG